UGGGGGAUAUUGCACAAUGGGCGAAAGCCUGAUGCAGCGACGCCGCGUGGGGGAUGAAGGCUUUCGGGUUGUAAACCUCUUUCGCUAUCGAACAAGGCCCGCUUAGGGUGGGUUGAGGGUAGGUGGACAAGAAGCGCCGGCUAACUACGUGCCAGCAGCCGCGGUAAUACGUAGGGCGCGAGCGUUGUCCGGAAUUAUUGGGCGUAAAGGGCUUGUAGGCGGCUUGUUGCGCCUGCUGUGAAAACGCGGGGCUUAACUUCGCGCGUGCAGUGGGUACGGGCAGGCUUGAGUGUGGUAGGGGUGACUGGAAUUCCAGGUGUAGCGGUGGAAUGCGCAGAUAUCUGGAGGAACACCGAUGGCGAAGGCAGGUCACUGGGCCAUUACUGACGCUGAGGAGCGAAAGCAUGGGUAGCGAACAGG
rnacentral:rRNA from 1 species